CGCGGCCGGACAGCGGCCGGUCCCCAAGUCCGUAGCGGAAAGGGGGGCGGCCCGGGGAGAACGUGGGCUGGUGGCAACCGUGGCCCUGGAACCGGGAGAAAGGGACAGAGCGACAGGGUGGGGGACCUGCGUGCACCUGGCUUGAGUCAGACUAGCAAGUCCUGUGGGCGGGGGUGUUUGCUUUGCUGUCGCCCACCCACCCCUGCGUCUGGUUCCCUUUGCGACGGUGCAAGCAACCCAGAGAGGCUCAGCAGAAUUGAAAACGGGAAAUGUGGUCAUAGAAACCCAGGAAAACUGCCCAAGGAACACAAGAAAGAGCAAGUUAAUCAUGGAUGAGUGCUGAGGACCUUAAGGAAGGAGAAGUAACAUCUGAAUUAGCAUUUGUGAACAGGCAAGAUUUACACAUUCUGAGGUUGCUGGUGUAAAGGAGGUAAGUGGAGAGCAAUGUGGGCAAACAAAGGUGAGACAGAGGCAGAAAGGUCUGAAACAGCCUCUGAACACAGUGGCCCUAGGCUUGAGGACUUCCUGAAGCAAGAAGACC
rnacentral:lncRNA from 1 species